AGUGAACGCUGGCGGUAGGCCUAACACAUGCAAGUCGAACCGCAGCACAGUAAGAGCUUGCUCUUACGGGUGGCGAGUGGCGGACGGGUGAGGAAUACAUCGGAAUCUACUUUUUCGUGGGGGAUAACGUAGGGAAACUUACGCUAAUACCGCAUACGACCUACGGGUGAAAGCAGGGGAUCUUCGGACCUUGCGCGAUUGGAUGAGCCGAUGUCGGAUUAGCUAGUUGGCGGGGUAAAGGCCCACCAAGGCGACGAUCCGUAGCUGGUCUGAGAGGAUGAUCAGCCACACUGGAACUGAGACACGGUCCAGACUCCUACGGGAGGCAGCAGUGGGGAAUAUUGGACAAUGGGCGCAAGCCUGAUCCAGCCAUACCGCGUGGGUGAAGAAGGCCUUCGGGUUGUAAAGCCCUUUUGUUGGGAAAGAAAAGCAGCAGGUUAAUACCCCGCUGUUCUGACGGUACCCAAAGAAUAAGCACCGGCUAACUUCGUG
rnacentral:rRNA from 1 species